ensembl:lncRNA
AGGACUGUGAGGAAGAUCUGUGGUACCUAACCGAGCUAGAAUUAAGGCAAAGCACUGUAUUGCGGUUCUGUUUACAAGUUGUUACAAUGAGUAGUAGGGGGUACCUAGGCUUCACCAAAGAGGUACUUUAUUAUUAUUUUCUGAAAUACUGUGGUGCCAGUUCAAAAAUAAAUUUUUGCCAGGAAGCAUAAUGUCUAAUUAUUGCUUUCUUUAGAUAGAGCAGAUUAAAGUCUUACAUCAUUAAGGUGGCAGCAAACUUUUUUUUAAAAGCAGCACUAUCAUCUGAAGCAAAUAUACUACUACAUUUAGAAGACUGUUAAUCUCUGCUAGGUUAUGUCAUGUUCUUUUUAAGGUUUACUGAUAAUCCAUUUCAUGGCUAGUAGCUAUUCUUUUUCAGUCAUGCCAUGAAAACAGUCACUUGUCAACUUCCAUAGCUGUUGUCAUGUUUUACUAACAAUAGAUUAAUCAGCAUACAUAGAAUUGCCUUGCAGUUGCAUAAAUCGUGUGUAUAUAGUGAAUGUUGCAUAAAUAUACUUGCAGAUUGUUUUUAAUUUAAUUGAAAUAAAGAUAUGUUUGGCUGACAUAUGUUAAAUUAUUACAUGGACAAAUGUUCAACUUAGUUUUUCAGUUAAGCACUGAAGGGGAUAAAAGCCCAUGUUGUGGUACAUAUUUUUCCUAGUUCAAUGUAUGUAUUUUAGUAACAAGUCCAAAGAAAGGUUGGUUUUGGCAUGUUACAAAGUAAUAAUUAAGUAAUGUUUGAGAAACUGGGUUACUCCCAAACAGAAUUAUUAUACUUUAUAAAAUGUCUCACACCUCCUGUAUGACCCAUAUUAGAAAAAAUCAAACUUAGAUUAAUCUUUGCAGUAGCUUUCUGUGUCCAAAAUACACAUGACAGAACGUGUAUGUUAUAAGUAUUCUGACAUGGAUUAUCCAUAAACCUGUGUGCUGCUCUUCAACUCCAGACAGUACUGGGACAGUAAUGGAUGGCAGUUAUUGAAGAAAAGAAGCUCUGUAAUCCCCUCUACAGAUUGUUCAUUGUAGGUGUUACUCCAGCUCAGCAGCUUUCUGUUACAACUUUACUGUGUCAAAGGAUUUGCACCCUAUGGGUAAAUACUGUCUCUUGAAUUUUACUGUAUGAAUUUUUUAGGGAGGUGAUUUCCUCUAAGAGCCUACAUCUCGUCUCAUUGUUCAAUCAGAUCACAGCAAAUAAAGGGACAUCAUGCUUAAUAUCUUGUACCUGG